GGAGUCUGUGGAGUGGCGGUGGGGAAGAACAAAGGAGCCAUAGCAGAUGCUGAUGCUGGAAUCUGCAGCAACACACAAGGUGCUCGUGGAACUCACCAAGUCAGGCAGCAUCCGUGGAGGGAAGUGAACAGUUAACGUUUCAGAUCAAGACACGUUAUCGAGAGUGAAAGAGCAGAGGUAGCCAAUAUAAAGAGGGUUUGAAAUGUGUUCUGCAGCUGCCAGGGUCUUCGAUUUCAAGGUGAAUGCAGCAGGCCAGGCAGUAUCUACAGGAAGAGGUACAGAUGACAUUUUGG